CCGUCUGAAAUUUGUGCUCAGGC
rnacentral:miRNA from 9 species